CUGCGAAUGAACGUUGUCGGCCAUGGAUAUAGGCGGGCAAGUCGGACGCCCCUCGGGGGCGUGGCGAAAGGGUGAGUAAGGCGACGGUAACCAACCCCGCGGAUGGGGACAGCCACGGGAAACUGUGGGUAAUCCCCCAUGACGCCGGCUCGGGAACUCUCGAGCUGGCCAAAGGUGCGACUCCGCCGCGGGACGGGCUGUCGUAGUUAUCAGGUUGCCGUGUGGGGUGACGGCCCACCAAGCCGAUGACGCCUACAGGGCGUGCGAGCUAUGCCCGCCACACUGGGUUUUUGAGACACUGCCCAGACAUACUACGGGUGGCUGCAGUCGAGAAUCUUCGGCAAUGGACACAGACUGACCGAGCGACAGGCCCCGCGUGGAUGACGAAGGCAUCGGGUUGUAAACUCCUGUCGAGGGGGAACAAGGUGGCGCUAUAGAGCGUCGCUUGAGUGAUCCCUGGGUGAAGCACGGGCUAAGUUCGUGCCAGCAGCCGCGGUAACCCGAACCGUGCGAACGUUAUAUUCGGAUUCACACUGGCUUAAAGCGCCAGUAUUCGGAUGGCCGCGUAUCGUCGCUGACCGCCCCCGGCUCAACCGGUACCGACCGGCGCCGAUUGGGCCGUCUGGAGGGGCGUAGGUAUGAGCUGGAACUCACGGUGGAGCGGUGAAAGCGUUGUUAGAUCGUGAGCCACGCCCGCUUGAAUAUCGAGCUCCUGGACGCCUGCUGACGCUGAGACGCGAAAGCCAGGGGAGCGAACGGGAUUAGUACCCCCCGGUAGUCCUGGCCGUAAACCAUGUAUCCACUGGGUAAUGGGUUCGCCGAUUAUGGUCCCAACCCGCAGCGAAAGCGUGAAGUGCUCCGCCUGGGGAGUAUGGCCGCAAGGCUGAAACUCAAAGGAAUUGACUGCCGCUCACACAAGCGGUGGAGCAUGUGCAGUUAAUUCGAGGCUCCGCGAAUAUAACCUUUUAUCCCCAGGCUUUUCAUGCACGGUAUCCAGCCUCCUGAAAGGGGGGUGACGCCUUCGGGUAUGGAACGUGCACAGGUGCCAGUAUGGCUGUCGUCAGCUCGUGCCGUGAGGUGUUGGGUUAAGUCCCGUAACGAGCGAAACCCUUGCGACCAGUUGCCUACCCACGUAACGGUGGGGACUCUGGUCGCAGUUCCCGCCGGCGUCAAGCCGGAGUAAAGGCUAUGGGACGACGUCAAGUCAUCAUGGCCCUUAUUACCCGGGGCUUUCACGUCAGCCCUACAAUGGGCCGGACAGAGCGUCGUUCACUGCGCACCGCAGGAGCCAAUCGCAGAAACCGGCCCUCAGUUCGGAUUGUGGGCUCAGGUAACCCGCUAUCACAUGAAUAUUGGAAUCGCAGUAAUCGCGGAUUAGCAGUUACCCC
rnacentral:rRNA from 1 species